AGUGAACGCUGGCGGUAGGCCUAACACAUGCAAGUCGAACGGCAGCACAGUAAGAGCUUGCUCUUACGGGUGGCGAGUGGCGGACGGGUGAGGAAUACAUCGGAAUCUACUUUUUCGUGGGGGAUAACGUAGGGAAACUUACGCUAAUACCGCAUACGACCUACGGGUGAAAGCAGUGGAUCUUCGGACCUUGCGCGAUUGAAUGAGCCGAUGUCGGAUUAGCUAGUUGGCGGGGUAAAGGCCCACCAAGGCGACGAUCCGUAGCUGGUCUGAGGGGAUGAUCAGCCACACUGGAACUGAGACACGGUCCAGACUCCUACGGGAGGCAGCAGUGGGGAAUAUUGGACAAUGGGCGCAAGCCUGAUCCAGCCAUACCGCGUGGGUGAAGAAGGCCUUCGGGUUGUAAAGCCCUCUUGUUGGGAAAGAAAAGCAGCAGGUUAAUACCCCGCUGUUCUGACGGUACCCAAAGAAUAAGCACCGGCUAACUUCGUG
rnacentral:rRNA from 1 species